AUUGAACGCUGGCGGCAUGCCUUACACAUGCAAGUCGAACGGUAACAGGUCUUCGGAUGCUGACGAGUGGCGAACGGGUGAGUAAUACAUCGGAACGUGCCCGAGAGUGGGGGAUAACGAAGCGAAAGCUUUGCUAAUACCGCAUACGAUCUCAGGAUGAAAGCAGGGGACCGCAAGGCCUUGCGCUCACGGAGCGGCCGAUGGCAGAUUAGGUAGUUGGUGGGAUAAAAGCUUACCAAGCCGACGAUCUGUAGCUGGUCUGAGAGGACGACCAGCCACACUGGGACUGAGACACGGCCCAGACUCCUACGGGAGGCAGCAGUGGGGAAUUUUGGACAAUGGGCGCAAGCCUGAUCCAGCCAUGCCGCGUGCAGGAUGAAGGCCUUCGGGUUGUAAACUGCUUUUGUACGGAACGAAAAGACUCUGGUUAAUACCUGGGGUCCAUGACGGUACCGUAAGAAUAAGCACCGGCUAACUACGUGCCAGCAGCCGCGGUAAUACGUAGGGUGCGAGCGUUAAUCGGAAUUACUGGGCGUAAAGCGUGCGCAGGCGGUUAUGUAAGACAGAUGUGAAAUCCCCGGGCUCAACCUGGGAACUGCAUUUGUGACUGCAUAGCUAGAGUACGGCAGAGGGGGAUGGAAUUCCGCGUGUAGCAGUGAAAUGCGUAGAUAUGCGGAGGAACACCGAUGGCGAAGGCAAUCCNCUGGGCCUGUACUGACGCUCAUGCACGA
rnacentral:rRNA from 1 species